rnacentral:tRNA from 1 species
GCGUGGAUACAAGGCUAGCGACUGCCUUCACACGGCAGGGGUCACAGGUUCAAUCCCUGUACCACCCACCA